CCUACGGGAUGCAGCAGUGGGGAAUAUUGCACAAUGGGGGAAACCCUGAUGCAGCGACGCCGCGUGAGUGAAGAAGUAAUUCGUUAUGUAAAGCUCUAUCAGCAGGGAAGAAAAUGACGGUACCUGAGUAAGAAGCCCCGGCUAACUACGGGCCAGAAGCCGCGGUAAUACGUAGGGGGCAGGAGGUAUCAGGAGUUAAUGGGUGGAAAGGGAGCGUAGACGGCAGUGCAAGUCUGGAGUGAAAGGCGGGGGCUCAACCCCCGGACGGCGCUGGAAACUGUACGGCUGGAGUGCAGGAGAGGUAAGUGGAAUUCGUGGGGUAGCGGUGAAAUGCGUAGAUAGUAGGAGGAACACCAGUGGCGAAGGCGGCUUACUGGACUGGAACUGACGUUGAGGCUCGAAAGUGUGGGGAGCAAACAGGAUUAGAUACCCGGGUAGUC
rnacentral:rRNA from 1 species